rnacentral:piRNA from 1 species
AAGAUUAGAAUUACGGAGGUGUCCUCAA